rnacentral:sRNA from 1 species
GGCCUUCAUCUGAUAUUCCACAGUUGGCCUGCUGAACCUUCAGCCCUGGUACCAGUCAGAGAGCUUUCCACAGACUCCUCUCCAUCACUUUUGCCUUGCCUCCUGGCUGAGCUGCUUAGCCACUGUGCGGACACCACUGACUGUGGGUGAGGCCUCAGAUCCAUAGGCUGGGGCUGCUAUAGAUGAGACUGCCUGCUUAGCCAGAUGAUCUGCUUCCUCAUUGCCCUCAAUCCUCAUAUGCCCAGGGGACCAUUUCAGGCCGACAUUGUGCUGCCUGAGGAGCUCAUGACAGCAGUUGAAGGCCCAGUUUGAGAUGACUGCUGUGUUGCCCCAUAUGCUCUAGAUGACCAAGGUGUUGUCAAGACAGAGCUAGAUCUGAGGAUUGAUGCUGCCACCUGGAGCCAUCAAUGUAUAUAUUGCUAAAUUCGGAAAUCAGCACAGCUUCAUUCAGCAAGGUAGACGGAAUAAUAAAUUACUAUUAAAACAUAUC